rnacentral:tRNA from 1 species
CAGAGGGUAUUUUAAUUAAAAUACUAGCUUUGGAAGUUAGUGAUGGCAUGGAGGCUGCUCUCUCUGA